AACGAACGCUGGCGGCAGGCUUAAUACAUGCAAGUCGAACGGGCGCAGCAAUGCGUCAGUGGCAGACGGGUGAGUAACACGUGGGAACCUUCCUCGUUGUACGGAGCAACUCAGGGAAACUUGAGCUAAUACCGUAUAAGUCCGAGAGGAGAAGGAUUUAUCGCAAUGAGACGGGCCCGCGUCGGAUUAGGUAGUGGUGAGGUAACGGCUCACCAAGCCAACGAUCCGUAGCUGAUCUGAGAGGAUGAUCAGCCACACUGGGACUGAGACACGGCCCAGACUCCUACGGGAGGCAGCAGUAGGGAAUCUUGGACAAUGGCGCAAGCCUGAUCCAGCCAUGCCGCGUGAGUGAAGAA
rnacentral:rRNA from 1 species